rnacentral:rRNA from 1 species
GAUGAACGCUGGCGGCGUGCCUAAUACAUGCAAGUCGAGCGAACGGACGAGAAGCUUGCUUCUCUGAUGUUAGCGGCGGACGGGUGAGUAACACGUGGAUAACCUACCUAUAAGACUGGGAUAACUUCGGGAAGCCGUAGCUAAUACCGGAUAAUAUUUUGAACCGCAUGGUUCAAAAGUGAAAGACGGUCUUGCUGUCACUUAUAGAUGGAUCCGCGCUGCAUUAGCUAGUUGGUAAGGUAACGGCUUACCAAGGCAACGAUGCAUAGCCGACCUGAGAGGGUGAUCGGCCAUACUGGAACUGAGACACGGUCCAGACUCCUACGGGAGGCAGCAGUAGGGAAUCUUCCGCAAUGGGCGAAAGCCUGACGGAGCAACGCCGCGUGAGUGAUGAAGGUCUUCGGAUCGUAAAACUCUGUUAUUAGGUAAGAACAUAUGUGUAAGUAACUGUGCACAUCUUGACGGUACCUAAUCAGAAAGCCACGGCUAACUACGUG